rnacentral:lncRNA from 1 species
UAUUCUUCAAGCAUAACUCCUUCAUUCUUAUAAUUACUUUUUUUACAUCUUUAGAUCUUCUUUUUAGCUAUCGAAUUUGAAAUACAAGAAGUUCCUUCCUAGACAUAUUGUCUUGUGAAGGUAAGAUACUCUAAGUGGUUAUUUACUCUUCAAUUGGCAUAAUGGGCUUCUGUCCUUGCAUUAACUCUACUGACAUAUAUCAUGUCACUAAACUAUGAAUAAUACAAUCAGUCCAAAGAGCAAAUAGUAAUAAUCUUUGUCAUUCUCUUGCUCUUCCUUUGCAAGCUUUAAUAAUGGCUUUUACAAUAGGAGCGUGACCUCACUCAUUCUUAGCAUUGCCUUCUGAAUUAUAAGCUAUAGUAAGUACUAGUUUGACUCCAAAUCUUUCAAAGAACUGUCUAGUCUCAUGUACAUCCAAUUUUCCAUGAUCAACAGUAAUUUUUUCAAUACAUCCAUAUCUACAAACUACAUCUCCCAGUAAAAAUCUACAAAUUCCUUCACUGGAUUUUGUUCAUAGAGCUCUUCCUUCUACUUGGUUAGAUAAAUCUUCUCAUGCCAAAGCUAAGUACUAUAUUUGCUAUAUUCCCAUAAGCAUAGUAAUUAAGUCCACAACCCAUUUAUAAUGUAUUGAAAAUGGAUACGUGGGAUGUAAUCCAUCUCUAUGUUGAAUCUCUGAGUAUAUCUGAUAAGUCUCGCAUGAUUCCACAAACUUCACUACAUCUCUAUACAUAUUAUGCCACCAAUAUUUUUCUUUGAACUUGUUAAUGGUGGCAUAAAUACUUCUAUGUCCAACCUACAUACUAUUAUGGAAUUCAU